rnacentral:lncRNA from 1 species
UUUCCAUCACGUUUCAUUUAUUUGUUUUACUUUGAGCUCUUUUGUAACAAAAAAUAAAAAUGCAUUUUACCCCUCUGAGCACCAGACUUAAAUGGGACUGACAUCUCUACCCCCAUAGGAGUAGGAAACAUCAGCAAACUUGAGUCCAGCAACAACUUUUGUUGUGCAGACAGUAGGACUGCAGCCAGCAGAAGCACCUGACUGCGUGUGGCGGGGUGACGCAGCCCGGGCAUCGCUGCUCCGAGGUCCUCCAGCAGAUGGAGACAUGGGAAGAAAGGAGGGAGAAGGGAGGGAGAACAGGAGGAAAAGCUCCAAAACGCAGCCUGCCAGCAAGGGCCUGCUGUGCCCCAUCUGCACGGCCUGGCUCCAGGUGUGCUGAUCCAGUAGUGCUGCAGGGAGAGGUCUGAAGUGAUGUCAGCUGAAGGGACACAGGUCAGCCUCAGCCUCAGCAUCUCCCAGGCCAGGGCCGUGGCUAAGAAUGAUUUUAGGGCUGAGGAGCAGAGGACCACAUGGUAAAUAGGAAGAGGCAGUGAAUAGCUUCAUUGCUCCCCAGAGACAUCCAUUCCCCCUCUUGCAGACAGUUGCAAGGAAGCUGGAAAGCAGAGUAGCAGCACUACGAUGCUGUACACAGGCCUUUCCUUCCCUUGUCACUUCUCAGAGCAGCUGAGACCUCAUUUCCUACAAACCAAGACAAAGUCUGGAAAUGGGGUCUCAUCCUGGCUGCAGCACAGCAGGCAGGAGGUGGGGGGCUGGCAGCUCCAGCUCGCAGCUGCUUGGGCUGUUCUGCACCUGGGGCUGUCUGUGCCUUUGGGUUGCCUUUGCUGGAGGGGCCUCUCAGGCACCUUACAACCUCUGUGCUCUUUGAAAUGUGCAUGCCUGCUUUACAAGCAGCCCUUUAAGGUUUUCUGGCACCGGUACAGGGAUGCUCCAACUGACCUAAUUUCACUGAUCUUUCUUAUCUCUGACCUCUGUGGUUCAUUGACUACAGGGAUUGCUGGGUUUCUCAUUAGUGGUUAGAAAGUAUUUUUAUGCUCCUGUUCACUUGACACACAGCAAAAUCUUCCAGAAAGUAAUCUUGCUGUGCAGCUCAGGGCUGUGUUCCGCAGAGGAGCAGGCUUCUGCCACCAUCAGCCCUUCUCCAUCACAAGGGAACAGCCAAGGAUGAGCUUCAGGGCUGGGUGCUGAGUGCUGUGCCUCAGGGUGCCUCUCCCAGCGGGUCCCUCCGCAGAAAAGAUUCUCUCAAAGGGUUGAAGCCAGAAGGGUCCAAGUUCCCUUUCAGGCUGGUUUACUCGUGAUUUUCUGAAAAUUUUCAUAGAAUGGCUUGAGGUGAAAGGGACCACAGAGUCUGUCUCGUUCCAACCCCCCUGCUGUGAGCAGGGUUGUCAACUGCUAGAUCAGGCACCCCGCUCAGGCUGCCCAGGGCCCCAUCCAGCCUGGCCUCGAGUGCCUCCAGGGAUGGGCAUCCACAUCUUCUGUGGGCAGCAGUGCUGGGGCCUCGCUGCCCUCUCAGUGAAAACCUUCCACCUGAUAUCAUCCCUGUGUUGAGAUCUUUAAUAUAUAUAUAUUGUAUUUUAUUUAAACUGCUCAAGCUCCAUACCUCUUUAGCUGGGCCACUUCUCUCAGCAUGUGGACACUGACUGUUCUUUCUUCUCUGCUUGCAGGCUGUUGGAGCGGCCUCCCACAGGAUGGUGAUGGGGCUCGUCACAGUGCAUGGGAUAACUCAGGGAUGUCUUUCUGCCACCCCACCCUCCCUAUCUGUCCUGCGAGGCUUUCCAGCCUCCUUCACGUCAGUGCAAAUGAGGCUGUGCAGCUCUGCGCAGUCCCUACAGACUUGGAGGGGAGAGGGAGGAGCAGUGCCAGGACUGCUAUCGCUGCGAGGGAGUGAACGCCCAGCAUCAGCCAGAUAAGGACCCGGGCUGAGAGGCCUUCAUCCUUCCUGAGGACCCACUGGGUGAUGGAUCAGAACGCUCCUGCCCACACUGGUUGUUCAAGGCACUGGACCAGACCUCAGGCUGAGCUCUCCCAGAG